AUUGAACGCUGGCGGCAGGCCUAACACAUGCAAGUCGAACGGCAGCACAGAAGAGCUUGCUCUUUGGGUGGCGAGUGGCGGACGGGUGAGUAAUGUCUGGGAAACUGCCCGAUGGAGGGGGAUAACUACUGGAAACGGUAGCUAAUACCGCAUAACGUCGCCAGACCAAAGUGGGGGACCUUCGGGCCUCACACCCUCGGAUGUGCCCAGAUGGGAUUAGCUAGUAGGUGGGGUAAUGGCUCACCGAGGCGACGAUCCCUAGCUGGUCUGAGAGGAUGACCAGCCACACGGGAACUGAGACACGGUCCAGACUCCUACGGGAGGCAGCAGUGGGGAAUAUUGCACAAUGGGCGCAAGCCUGAUGCAGCCAUGCCGCGUGUAUGAAGAAGGCCUUCGGGUUGUAAAGUACUUUCAGCGGGGAGGAAGGCGGUGAGGUUAAUAACCUCGCCGAUUGACGUUACCCGCAGAAGAAGCACCGGCUAACUCCAUGCCAGCCGCCGCCGUAA
rnacentral:rRNA from 1 species